CCGAAUGGGGAAGUCGAUGGCAAACAGGUUAAUAUUCCUGUACUAGUAUAAACAGUGAUGGAGUGACGGAGCGAUGAAAGGAACGCGAACUGACGGAAUAGUUCGUUGAAAGGCGUACGCAUAUGGACAGGUUAAGAGCUAGUCUUUGCUGAAACCUGAUAGUACUGCAAAUCUUCGGAGGCGCAGAUAGUUUCCCUAAUUUUACUUCCAAGAAAAACUUCUAAACUUAUGUUUAUACUACCCGUACCGUAAACCGACACAGGUAGUCGAGGAGAGUAUCCUAAGGUGCUCGACUGAUUCGUGGUUAAGGAAC
rnacentral:rRNA from 12 species